rnacentral:rRNA from 1 species
CCUACGGGUGGCUGCAGUGAGGAAUAUUGGUCAAUGGGCGUAAGCCUGAACCAGCCAAGUCGCGUGAGGGAUGAAGGUUCUAUGGAUCGUAAACUUCUUUUAUAAAGGAAUAAAGUGAGGCACGUGUGCCUUUUUGUAUGUACUUUAUGAAUAAGGAUCGGCUAACUCCGUGCCAGCAGCCGCGGUAAUACGGAGGAUCCGAGCGUUAUCCGGAUUUAUUGGGUUUAAAGGGAGCGUAGAUGGGUUGUUAAGUCAGUUGUGAAAGUUUGCGGCUCAACCGUAAAAUUGCAAUUGAUACUGGCAGUCUUGAGUACAGUUGAGGUAGGCGGAAUUCGUGGUGUAGCGGUGAAAUGCUUAGAUAUCAUACAGAACACCGAUUGCGAAGGCAGCUUACCAAUCUAUAUCUGACGUUGAGGCACGAAAGCGUGGGGAGCAAACAGGAUUAGAUACCCUAGUAGUC